UCGAAGGCGCUUGAUAGCGCACAGCGAACGUGCGUGGUUCGACGUUUAACUUGCAAGAAGCUCAAGGAGCUGAGAAGCCCUCUGUUGCAGUGGCGUGUCUGCCAAGGUCCCGCCAGACUCCCGUGCGUCACCGUAUGUCAUCCCCGCAUCCGAUAACCCCUCCGUCACACACAGAGUACACACACGACAAACACGUAUGCCUUGUCACCUGCCUAGCUAGUGCUCCGGCAUCACCCGAGCAACAGCAGGCAGACCGCAAGACCCACCGGCAGUUACUUGUUGUCGCCACCCGCUACCUUGUACACUUGCGUUCACGACCGCGCGCCACUUCACGUGGUGGCCUUACGAAACCCCCCAAAACACGUUGAUACAAGUCCGCGCAUGCAACGCACUCGCCGCCCGCCUACUUUCCUGUAACCGUCGGCCGCGUACUCGCCCUGUGCCCGCCUGCACAGUUGUUGGUUGCCCGCCAUCCCGUUGCAGGGCCCGACACCUCAACGACGCCUCGCCACCACCGCCACUGCACGUGCCGCCACAACCACCCGAUCCAAACAACCCGACUGCGCCGCCUCUAUCUCCGCCCUACCGACACACAUGCAGUUGGCUACCGCCCUAUCACCGGCUCAGGUGAAGGGCCAUGCGGGCUCGUGGCAGCUAGCAGCUAGCGUGCAGCUGUAUCUGGCAGCAGCUGCAAGGCUACCACGGCCACCACCGCCAAUGCCGCUGCGCCUGCAGUUCCGCCUGCCUCUGCUCCAGCUUGUGCUUCGCAAUCUGGACCUGCGCCGGUGCUACCACCAGCUCGCGCCAGCGCCGCUCGCCGGUAAUGAAGCAAGAAAUGCUGACGCCGGUGGCGCGCCAGGUGACGUGCGCGAACUCGCCACAGGUGCUGACACUUGUGAUGAUGCCAUCGCUGCUGGGGCCGCCGUCCUGCCCGGCGGCAAUCCAGUUGGUGUGUAUCCUGUCCCAGUCCGGGCCGCGCCGCACCACCAGCCCCACAUGCGCGUUGUCGGCCGUGACCACUGCGCCGGGUACCGGCCGGGUACGGGGCAUGUGCACGUCGGGGUAGGGUCCCCGGAACGCACACUCCACCUCUGGCUCCACCUCCGGCUCCGGCUCCGGCUCCGGCUCCGGCUCUGUUGCUGCUGCCUCUGCCGCAGGCUCCUGCUCCGUGCUCGUGCUCCUGCCGUCACGACCCCCAUCCAGCAUGCGCUGCUGCUGCUGCUGAGAGGGAUCUGGCGGAUGCGUACCACAAUCCUGAAGGGUGGCGUGAACGGCGGCAUGGAAGGAGGAUUGUAGCAACUUGUCGCAGGUAGCGGGCUAAGCAGGCUGAAGGCUACAGACAGCAGCAGCAUGCCGACAGCUGCUCGAUGUCGGGGGAGGAUCAGGGUCGGGGCUUGACGCGCAUGCCAUGUAUGGCGAGUGCUGACAGUGCCAUGCUUGACUGUUCCUGUGAUCGAUGCCGUAAGCCUCCGGCGCACGGCUCAAUGACACGGGCCUCACCUCCGGCGGCGGCUGCGGUCCUUGCUCCUGCAGGCUGCGCCUCCAUGCUAGCAGCUCUGACACCUGGCCCUGCACCUCUGACACCUGGCCCUGCAGCUCUGACACCUGGCCCUCCAGGUCGCCCACACGCAGCUGUAGCGACGCAGCGUCGGACGAGGCGGCGGCCUGCUGACCACUCGCCUGCUGAGCGGCAGGCGGCAAGACGCAACGGCGCGCGGUCUCAGGGUCUCCGUGCGGCUUGUAAACAUCCUUGCAACCCCCAUUGCGAACCCACCUGCUCCUCGCUAGGGCGGCGGCAGUCGGGGCCAGGGGCGGGCUCCUCGGCGCCCGCCUUUGCCUGGACAGCACCCCGGCUGGCGGCAGUGCUGCUCCAUGUGCUGCGCCUGGGAGCUGCUGCCACAGGGCAACAGCGGCCGCGGCGGCCCGCGGCAGCAGCAGGAGCGAUGGUGCGAGCCGCGGUCGCCGCCUGAAUGCUCCCGCGCGUGCACCGCUGCUGCAGCCCAAGCAAUGCCAGCCACGCUGGACCGCUCCGCGUGGCACAGCGCAUCCUGCGCAUAUGCAAGGAAAAGCACAAAGGAGAAAUAGCAAGGAGCAAGGACUACAAUUGACGGCGCCGGUUUUCCCGCCAAGCAACGUUGCCUGCGCCCCGGCGCCCACAGUGACGACCGCUUGCCUCAGACAGCCGCGCAACAAAACAUACCUUCAAGCGAAAAACCUUGAGCGAAGGACAGACGCGGCCAGAGGCGGUAUGGGAGCCGGUCGGCGGAGAGGGCUAUUGGCUUCUGGCAGCCGUGCAGCAGCAAGCACGGUCGUUCUGCGUGGGUCAGCUUCGCGGAGCAUAAUCUUAAAGACGUUGCAAGUAGCGGUCUUCCUCGGCAGGCUCAUCAGCAAGAUUGUGUCUUCAGCACGCAUGCAUCGGUACCGGCAACCCCGAACUCGACGCCUCAACUCACAGUCACCCGCACCGCAAACUAGCUACUUCGCCUUGCAAAUUUGCGUCAACCCAUGACAGCUUAUCACAAUGCCGCUACGCACGCAACAGGGCUCACCACGUCUCAGUGCAGGAACUUCAGGGUCCGCAUGGAACCUUAUCCCCAGCGAACACACCAACCCCACACAGCUCCUCCCACAGGGCCGGCUCCAAGCCUGCCGCGCACCACCCCGCCGCCCACUACCCACACGCAGCACACAGAAACCCUAGCUGCCCUCACAUGCCCCCACCCACUAAGACGACGCAACGGACAAGCUGGACAGCUUCUGCCCAGCUGCCUCCGCGGCCGCUCGCGUUUUGUCUGGCUGUAGCCUCGUCGUGCAGGUUAGACCAACAACAACACCCCUGAACAAUACGCACCUGCGGAUGGCUUGAGCAGCAGGGACGCCCGCAGCGGCGGCCGGUGAAGCAAGUCUCGAACGUGCCAGAAGCAGCCCAGUCGAAGGCGCUUGAUAGCGCACAGCGAACGUGCGUGGUUCGACGUUUAACUUGCAAGAAGCUCAAGGAGCUGAGAAGCCCUCUGUUGCAGUGGUGUGUCUGCCAAGGUCCCGCCAGACUCCCGUGCGUCACCGUAUGUCAUCCCCGCAUCCGAUAACCCCUCCGUCACACACAGAGUACACACACGACAAACACGUAUGCCUUG
rnacentral:lncRNA from 1 species